GUCUAUGAUGAAACCUGUGAAUAGGAAGUGCCGUCCGAUGCGAUAACUGACGAUGCUUUAUUACUCACUGCUC
rnacentral:snoRNA from 1 species